rnacentral:lncRNA from 1 species
UUAACAUUUUUCAAGGACUUGCUGAAUCAUGAAGAAUGCUCCUUCAAGAAACUGGAGGAGAGAAGACUUCUUGGAGGACUAGCAUCCAACCUGGUCCUAUCACCACUACAUGUGCAGUGGAAGAACUCAGAUAUGAAGCAAGCACCAUGAGCUGUUUUUCAGGGCUGAAAUUUUUCAGCAGUGGAGAAUGGAGAUGGAGAGAAAUGCUGCUC